CCUAAAAAAUCUCUAUGCUUCUGUAGCCGUCUCCAUCCCCAAAUUCAUUUUCCUAGAAGCUUACACAACAACUCUUGAUCAGCAGAACUAAACACAAAUUCUCUCUUUAUUUGGAGGAUUCAGCUACAUGUUUUAACUAAAUCAUUUGUUACCUUUUUAUUUUAUUCUCAAUCUAUUUGUUUCCUUCCAAACCAUAAUCUCUCUUUCGCUUUUUAACUAAAUCCAAUUCCCCUGUUAAAAUUCAUGUUGACGAUGGCGGGUAAACAAGAUCAGGUUUUCGAGGUCACUGGUUCGUACUUUUUCCCUAUUUUUUUAUGAGAGUCUUGGAGAUGUUCAUCAUAGUUAUCACAGUAGGAGCUUUCUUCUUUGGGAAUUUUAAAUGAGCUUACCUGGAUAUCCUAUGUGUGAAUUCUCUAGGAAUCCAUUCUAUUCUAUGGUGAUAAUGAAUUACUCACAUGUCUACGAAGACAUUACACAUGCCAUUUUUGCCAAAGAUUUGGAUGAAAGUUUGAUGCUAAGUUUGCUCUGAUGGAUGUAAUGUCUUUAAAGCGAUCAUGAAGAAGACCAAAGGAGAUGAUACACUGCACAUUUAAGCAUCUUAUUGCACAUAAGCUAGCGGAAGAAGAAGCUGAACUUUAAGCUAAGGAUCAAGCUAGAAAGGCUAAACAUUUGGAAGAAGGACAUGUUAAACCUGGAAAUUAGUUGGAUACCCAUGAAAGAUUCUAAUUGGUGUUGCCACUAGAUCUAGAAGAUAAACAAGGCGUAGCAUGCUCAGAAGGGUUUGAAUCUUUCCUGGUCAAGAGUCACUAAAGGUAGGGUUUAGGGUUUAGCGAUCCGUGUUUAGAAGGUGCACAUUGGAAUGGAUGUUUAGAAGGUGCACCUUGGAAUGGAGGUAGUUAUCUCACGAGAUCUAAGAUGUAAGGAGUUCUAUAUGGGAAAGAAGUAGUGAAAGAAGUUCAAGGUCUAUAUGGGAAUUUAACAACUCUGUUCUACAAAUUUUGGAAGCUGGAGUGAUGUAUAUCCUCAUGGAAAUUUGUUUUUGUUUAGCUCUAAAAACAAACCAGAGAUUGAGAGAAGCUGUUGGUGCAGUGGCUAUAUAUAUGCUCAAGAGUAUUCCACAUGUUUGCUUCUAAUAUUUAAACCUUACAUUGAAAAGGUGUAAGAUAUUGGAGGAACAAGUUUGAGAAAUUGUCUGACUAAAUCGAAUCUGAAGAAGAUUGUUUGGUCGAUUCGGUAUUGGGUUUGUUUAUUAGCCGAGACGAAGUAUAUUAUCGGGACGCCUCUUCUUGGAGGCAAAAGUUGAAGACCCGUGCUGUCAAGGUUUGAUGAGCAAAUGGGAUCAGUUGAAGCCAUUUACGCAAAAAGUUGUUUCAUGAUGCCAUUUGCAUGGCGGUGCUAAUUCAAGAAGUCAUAUGUGGCGAUUAUGCUUUUGUCAUCCACACAAACAAUCCUGUCUUUG